rnacentral:misc_RNA from 1 species
AAGUCGUAACAAGGUUUCCGUAGGUGAACCUGCGGAAGGAUCAUUAUUGAAAUAAACCUGGCGUGGUUGUAGCUGGUCCUCUCGGGGACAUGUGCUCGCCCGUCAUCUUUAUAUCUCCACCUGUGCACCCUUUGUAGACCUGGACGAUAACUUUCCGAGGCAACUCGGUCGGGAGGACUGCUGGCUUUCACGAGUCGGCUUUCCUUGUAUUAUCCAGGCCUAUGUCUUACACAUACCCCAAAGAAUGUAACAGAAUGUAUUGUAUAUGGCCUAGUGCCUAUAAACUAUAUACAACUUUCAGCAACGGAUCUCUUGGCUCUC